AGGCGUGGGUGUUUCGUCCCUCUGCAGGUCUCCAGGGCAAAUCGUGGUAAAAGUCUUGGCAGCGCUCACAGUUCAGUCCCUCAGUGUUAUGAUUACACACACAGCGGCCAUGGACCUGUGACACAAAAUUUUACAUCAUCAGUGAGUGUGAUGUACCAUGCCCUCAGCUCCUAUGGGUGCUCCGUCGAUCGGGGCGCACUCGGAGGCGUGACCGUAGCAGAAGCAGUUUCCGCGGACAACCAUGUCGUAGAGGGCGUAGUAGUACUUCUCCGUCACCUCGUCGCGGGAGUCGAGCAGGUUGUCGCCCAGUGUGUGGAGCUUAAUGAACUUCACCCGGAGGAUGGGAAAGGAUGUACAUUGUGAAUGAGCGGCACGAAUCCAGCUGUCCGCCAUCGCAGCCGACCAUGUGACAGCGAUCAGAGUUCUUUACUGCACAGCCCUGAGCUCAUCCUCUCCCUCCUCCUCUUAUUCCCACCACCCUCCAGAGACCGGAACGAUUUUCCACAUUCCUCCACCACAGCUGCUCAGUGCUGUGUUUAUCUCCAUGCGGUUUUGAGGCGGUUGGGGGCGAAGGUGGUGACCACGUUCUCGAUCGUGUGGCUGACGGGGUUGCUGUCCUCGUCGUACAUCUGCUUGGAGUCACACAUGAAACAUUUCUUCUCCUC